AGAGUUUGAUCCUGGCUCAGGACGAACGCUGGCGGCGUGCCUAAUACAUGCAAGUAGAACGCUGAAGAGAGGAGCUUGCUCUUCUUGGAUGAGUUGCGAACGGGUGAGUAACGCGUAGGUAACCUGCCUUGUAGCGGGGGAUAACUAUUGGAAACGAUAGCUAAUACCGCAUAACAAUGGAUGACACAUGUCAUUUAUUUGAAAGGGGCAAUUGUUCCACUACAAGAUGGACCUGCGUUGUAUUAGCUAGUAGGUGAGGUAAUGGCUCACCUAGGCGACGAUACAUAGCCGACCUGAGAGGGUGAUCGGCCACACUGGGACUGAGACACGGCCCAGACUCCUACGGGAGGCAGCAGUAGGGAAUCUUCGGCAAUGGGGGCAACCCUGACCGAGCAACGCCGCGUGAGUGAAGAAGGUUUUCGGAUCGUAAAGCUCUGUUGUAAGUCAAGAACGGGUGUGAGAGUGGAAAGUUCACACUGUGACGGUAGCUUACCAGAAAGGGACGGCUAACUACGUGCCAGCAGCCGCGGUAAUACGUAGGUCCCGAGCGUUGUCCGGAUUUAUUGGGCGUAAAGCGAGCGCAGGCGGUUUGAUAAGUCUGAAGUUAAAGGCUGUGGCUCAACCAUAGUUCGCUUUGGAAACUGUCAAACUUGAGUGCAGAAGGGGAGAGUGGAAUUCCAUGUGUAGCGGUGAAAUGCGUAGAUAUAUGGAGGAACACCGGUGGCGAAAGCGGCUCUCUGGUCUGUAACUGACGCUGAGGCUCGAAAGCGUGGGGAGCGAACAGGAUUAGAUACCCUGGUAGUCCACGCCGUAAACGAUGAGUGCUAGGUGUUGGAUCCUUUCCGGGAUUCAGUGCCGCAGCUAACGCAUUAAGCACUCCGCCUGGGGAGUACGACCGCAAGGUUGAAACUCAAAGGAAUUGACGGGGGCCCGCACAAGCGGUGGAGCAUGUGGUUUAAUUCGAAGCAACGCGAAGAACCUUACCAGGUCUUGACAUCCCGAUGCUAUUUCUAGAGAUAGAAAGUUACUUCGGUACAUCGGUGACAGGUGGUGCAUGGUUGUCGCCAGCUCGUGUCGUGAGAUGUUGGGUUAAGUCCCGCAACGAGCGCAACCCCUAUUGUUAGUUGCCAUCAUUCAGUUGGGCACUCUAGCGAGACUGCCGGUAAUAAACCGGAGGAAGGUGGGGAUGACGUCAAAUCAUCAUGCCCCUUAUGACCUGGGCUACACACGUGCUACAAUGGUUGGUACAACGAGUUGCGAGUCGGUGACGGCGAGCUAAUCUCUUAAAGCCAAUCUCAGUUCGGAUUGUAGGCUGCAACUCGCCUACAUGAAGUCGGAAUCGCUAGUAAUCGCGGAUCAGCACGCCGCGGUGAAUACGUUCCCGGGCCUUGUACACACCGCCCGUCACACCACGAGAGUUUGUAACACCCGAAGUCGGUGAGGUAACCUUUUGGAGCCAGCCGCCUAAGGUGGGACAGAUGAUUGGGGUGAAGUCGUAACAAGGUA
rnacentral:rRNA from 1 species